rnacentral:rRNA from 1 species
GAUGAACGCUGGCGGCGUGCCUAAUACAUGCAAGUCGAGCGAACAGAUAAGGAGCUUGCUCCUUUGACGUUAGCGGCGGACGGGUGAGUAACACGUGGGUAACCUACCUAUAAGACUGGAAUAGCUCCGGGAAACCGGGGCUAAUGCCGGAUAACAUUUAGAACCGCAUGGUUCUAAAGUGAAAGAUGGUUUUGCUAUCACUUAUAGAUGGACCCGCGCCGUAUUAGCUAGCUGGUAAGGUAACGGCUUACCAAGGCAACGAUACGUAGCCGACCUGAGAGGGUGAUCGGCCACACUGGAACUGAGACACGGUCCAGACUCCUACGGGAGGCAGCAGUAGGGAAUCUUCCGCAAUGGGCGAAAGCCUGACGGAGCAACGCCGCGUGAGUGAUGAAGGUCUUCGGAUCGUAAAACUCUGUUAUUAGGGAAGAACAAAUGUGUAAGUAACUGUGCACGUCUUGACGGUACCUAAUCAGAAAGCCACGGCUAACUACGUG